CCGGUCUAACCACCGGGAUGUUCAUAACCCUUUGUUGUCCGACUCUGUUGCCUCCGGGGCGACCCUGCCUUCGGGCGGGGGCUCCGGGUGGACACUUCAAACUCUUGCGUAACUUUGCAGUCUGAGUAAACUUAAUUAAUAAAUUAAAACUUUUAACAACGGAUCUCUUGGUUCUGGCAUCGAUGAAGAACGCAGCGAAAUGCGAUAAGUAAUGUGAAUUGCAGAAUUCAGUGAAUCAUCGAAUCUUGAACGCACAUUGCGCCCCCUGGUAUUCCGGGGGGCAUGCCUGUUCGAGCGUCAUUUCACCACUCAAGCCUCGCUUGGUAUUGGGCAACGCGGUCCGCCGCGUGCCUCAAAUCGACCGGCUGGGUCUUCUGUCCCCUAAGCGUUGUGGAAACUAUUCGCUAAAGGGUGCUCGGGAGGCUACGCCGUAAAACAAACCCAUUUCUAAGGUUGACCUCGGAUCAGGUAGGGAUACCCGCUGAACUUAAGCAUAUCAAUAAGCGGAGGAAAAGAAACCAACAGGGAUUGCUCUAGUAACGGCGAGUGAAGCAGCAAUAGCUCAAAUUUGAAAUCUGGCGUCUUCGACGUCCGAGUUGUAAUUUGUAGAGGAUGCUUCUGAGUAACCACCGACCUAAGUUCCUUGGAACAGGACGUCAUAGAGGGUGAGAAUCCCGUAUGCGGUCGGAAAGGUGCUCUAUACGUAGCUCCUUCGACGAGUCGAGUUGUUUGGGAAUGCAGCUCUAAAUGGGAGGUAAAUUUCUUCUAAAGCUAAAUAUUGGCCAGAGACCGAUAGCGCACAAGUAGAGUGAUCGAAAGAUGAAAAGCACUUUGGAAAGAGAGUUAAAAAGCACGUGAAAUUGUUAAAAGGGAAGGGAUUGCAACCAGACUUGCUCGCGGUGUUCCGCCGGUCUUCUGACCGGUCUACUCGCCGCGUUGCAGGCCAGCAUCGUCUGGUGCCGCUGGAUAAGACUUGAGGAAUGUAGCUCCCUCGGGAGUGUUAUAGCCUCUUGUGAUGCAGCGAGCGCCGGGCGAGGUCCGCGCUC
rnacentral:rRNA from 1 species